UUCUCUCUCACUCUGUCUGCCUGAUGAAUCACAGCGUCUCUCUCCCUCUGAAGGUGUGUGUGUGUGUGUGUGUGUGUAGGAGUUGAUUCCUUGUUCAUUUCCUGUUUUAUCUUGUAGGAGUUGAUUCCUUGUUUGUUUCCUGUUUUAUUUUGUAGGAGUUGAUUCCUUGUUCAUUUCCUGUUUUAUUUUGUAGGAGUUGAUUCCUUGUUCAUUUCCUGUUUUAUUUUGUAGGAGUUGAUUCCUUGUUCAUUUCCUGUUUUAUUUUGUAGGAGUUGAUUCCUUGUUCAUUUCCUGUUUUAUUUUGUAGGAGUUGAUUCCUUGUUUAUUUGCUGUUUUAUUUUGUAGGAGUUGAUUCCUUGUUUAUUUCCUGUUUUAUUUUGUAGGAGUUGAUUCCUUGUUCAUUUCCUGUUUUAUUUUGUAGGAGUUGAUUCCUUGUUUAUUUCCUGUUUUAUUUUGUAGGAGUUGAUUCCUUGUUUAUUUCCUGUUUUAUUUUGUAGGAGUUGAUUCCUUGUUUAUUUCCUGUUUUAUUUUGUAGGAGUUGAUUCCUUGU